ACGGGAGGCAGCAGUGGGGGAUAUUGCACAAUGGGGGAAACCCUGAUGCAGCGACGCCGCGUGAGUGAAGAAGUAUUUCGGUAUGUAAAGCUCUAUCAGCAGGGAAGAAAAUGACGGUACCUGACUAAGAAGCUCCGGCUAAAUACGUGCCAGCAGCCGCGGUAAUACGUAUGGAGCAAGCGUUAUCCGGAUUUACUGGGCGUAAAGGGCGCGUAGGCGGCCCGUUAAGUCUGGAGUGAAAGUCCUGCUUUUAAGGUGGGAAUUGCUUUGGAUACUGAUGGGCUUGAGUGCAGGAGAGGUAAGUGGAAUUCCCAGUGUAGCGGUGAAAUGCGUAGAGAUUGGGAGGAACACCAGUGGCGAAGGCGACUUACUGGACUGUAACUGACGCUGAGGCGCGAAAGUGUGGGGAGCAAACAGGAUUAGAUACCCUGGUA
rnacentral:rRNA from 1 species